UACGAAGGGGGCUAACGUUGUUUGGAAUCGCUGGGCGUAGAGCGCACGCAGGCGGAUCGAUAAGACGGGGGUGAAAGCCCGGGGCUCAACCUCGGAAUUGCCUCCGAUACAGUCGGUCUCGAGUCCGGGAGAGGUGAGUGGAAUUCCUAGUGUAGAGGUGAAAUUCGUCGAUAUUAGGAAGAACACCAGUGGCGAAGGCGGCUCACUGGCCCGGUACUGCCGCUCAGGUGCGAAAGCGUGGGGAGCAAACAGG
rnacentral:rRNA from 1 species